rnacentral:tRNA from 1 species
GGGGAUGUAGCUCAGUGGGAAAGCUCUUGCCUUGCAUGUAAGGGGUCCUGAGUUCAACCCUGAGCAUCUCCA